AGAGUUUGAUUCUGGCUCAGGAUGAACGCUAGCUACAGGCUUAACACAUGCAAGUCGAGGGGCAGCAUGGCAGUUUGCUUGCAAACUUCCGAUGGCGACCGGCGCACGGGUGAGUAACACGUAUCCAACCUGCCGAUAACUCGGGGAUAGCCUUUCGAAAGAAAGAUUAAUAUCCGAUAGCAUAUCAAGAUCGCAUGAUCUUGAUAUUAAAGAAUUUCGGUUAUCGAUGGGGAUGCGUUCCAUUAGUUAGUUGGCGGGGUAACGGCCCACCAAGACAACGAUGGAUAGGGGUUCUGAGAGGAAGGUCCCCCACAUUGGAACUGAGACACGGUCCAAACUCCUACGGGAGGCAGCAGUGAGGAAUAUUGGUCAAUGGACGAGAGUCUGAACCAGCCAAGUAGCGUGAAGGAUGACUGCCCUAUGGGUUGUAAACUUCUUUUAUAUGGGAAUAAAACAGGGUAUGCAUACCCUCUUGUAUGUACCAUAUGAAUAAGGAUCGGCUAACUCCGUGCCAGCAGCCGCGGUAAUACGGAGGAUCCGAGCGUUAUCCGGAUUUAUUGGGUU
rnacentral:rRNA from 1 species